AUGGGUCUCGAGGCGGAGCCGGGCGGCGCCCCGGCGGCCGCCCCGCCACAGCCGGCCGACCUCACGUCGGGCGAAAAGGAGACGGAGGUGGGAUCGCGCGAUGACUACGGAUCCCCGGCUGAGAUCGGGCGGGGACAGGGGAAUUUCACGCAAUGGCGUGUUCAUUUCUGCGCCCAGACGGCUCCUGGGAUCUGGAUUGAAGGCCGCGUCCGUUUUACUCCGCAUUCACGUUGGCUGGUUCUCUUCGAUUUGGAGAAUGACAUCCUUGCCGGCGACUUCUGGCCGGACGGCGACUCGAUCGAGGUAGGGCAUCGUUUCAAGAUUGAUGGUUUUGAUGUGCUGGUUGUUGAUUCUGUACAGGUGGAUCUUCGUCCGAAGAGACCGGAGCUGAUUGACUUGACGGAAACGAGGCUACAUGGAAAUCCGAGAGGAAUGGAUGGCGACAAGGCGGGAUACCCUGCGAGACUCGUGGUGCGGCGAUCAUCGGACCUCGGCUCUUGGGGCCGGUGGCCCAUCGACGGGUUGGUGGCCAGUUCUGGGCGCUGGCUGGAUCUGAAGACGACGAGGCGGACGAGGAUGGGGAUGAGCCGACGUCCUCUCCGCCAACGCCGACGCCAUCUGAUUUAUUCUGUGAGUUAUUCCAUUCAGGCUAUGAUGAGGAUGAGGUCGCCUCUACGGUGGACAGGAUCUUGCCGGUGGACGAUCCGGCGAGGGUUGGGCUACACGCGGACGACCGAAAGGAGAUGGUGCAUCGCGUCAUUCAUCGGAGAACGGCGGCGACAGCUGUCCGGCCAUGGAAAGGACCCCUUCCGAAGGUUUUAUUCAGGGCUACUGCGCUGA
rnacentral:rRNA from 1 species